CCUACGGGUGGCAGCAGUGAGGAAUAUUGGUCAAUGGACGAGAGUCUGAACCAGCCAAGUAGCGUGAAGGAUGACUGCCCUAUGGGUUGUAAACUUCUUUUAUAUGGGAAUAAAAUGUUCCACGUGUGGGAUUUUGUAUGUACCAUAUGAAUAAGGAUCGGCUAACUCCGUGCCAGCAGCCGCGGUAAUACGGAGGAUCCGAGCGUUAUCCGGAUUUAUUGGGUUUAAAGGGAGCGUAGGUGGAUUGUUAAGUCAGUUGUGAAAGUUUGCGGCUCAACCGUAAAAUUGCAGUUGAAACUGGCAGUCUUGAGUACAGUAGAGGUGGGCGGAAUUCGGGGUGUAGCGGUGAAAUGCUUAGAGAUCACGAAGAACGCCGAUUGCGAAGGCAGUUCACUGGACUGCAACUGACACUGAGGCUCGAAAGUGUGGGUAUCAAACAGGAUUAGAUACCCCGGUAGUC
rnacentral:rRNA from 1 species